rnacentral:rRNA from 2 species
UACGGAGGGGGCUAGCGUUGUUCGGAAUUACUGGGCGUAAAGCGCACGUAGGCGGCUUUGUAAGUUAGAGGUGAAAGCCCGGGGCUCAACCCCGGAAUAGCCUUUAAGACUGCAUCGCUUGAACGUCGGAGAGGUGAGUGGAAUUCCGAGUGUAGAGGUGAAAUUCGUAGAUAUUCGGAAGAACACCAGUGGCGAAGGCGGCUCACUGGACGACUGUUGACGCUGAGGUGCGAAAGCGUGGGGAGCAAACAGG